rnacentral:rRNA from 1 species
GAGUUUGAUCAUGGCUCAGAUUGAACGCUGGCGGCAGGCCUAACACAUGCAAGUCGAACGGUAACAGGAAACAGCUUGCUGUUUCGCUGACGAGUGGCGGACGGGUGAGUAAUGUCUGGGAAACUGCCUGAUGGAGGGGGAUAACUACUGGAAACGGUAGCUAAUACCGCAUAACGUCGCAAGACCAAAGAGGGGGACCUUCGGGCCUCUUGCCAUCAGAUGUGCCCAGAUGGGAUUAGCUAGUAGGUGGGGUAACGGCUCACCUAGGCGACGAUCCCUAGCUGGUCUGAGAGGAUGACCAGCCUCACUGGAACUGAGACACGGUCCAGACUCCUACGGGAGGCAGCAGUGGGGAAUAUUGCACAAUGGGCGCAAGCCUGAUGCAGCCAUGCCGCGUGUAUGAAGAAGGCCUUCGGGUUGUAAAGUACUUUCAGCGGGGAGGAAGGGAGUAAAGUUAAUACCUUUGCUCAUUGACGUUACCCGCAGAAGAAGCACCGGCUAACUCCGUGCCAGCAGCCGUGGUAAUACGGAGGGUGCAAGCGUUAAUCGGAAUUACUGGGCGUAAAGCGCACGCAGGCGGUUUGUUAAGUCAGAUGUGAAAUCCCCGGGCUCAACCUGGGAACUGCAUCUGAUACUGGCAAGCUUGAGUCUCGUAGAGGGGGGUAGAAUUCCAGGUGUAGCGGUGAAAUGCGUAGAGAUCUGGAGGAAUACCGGUGGCGAAGGCGGCCCCCUGGACGAAGACUGACGCUCAGGUGCGAAAGCGUGGGGAGCAAACAGGAUUAGAUACCCUGGUAGUCCACGCCGUAAACGAUGUCGACUUGGAGGUUGUGCCCUUGAGGCGUGGCUUCCGGAGCUAACGCGUUAAGUCGACCGCCUGGGGAGUACGGCCGCAAGGUUAAAACUCAAAUGAAUUGACGGGGGCCCGCACAAGCGGUGGAGCAUGUGGUUUAAUUCGAUGCAACGCGAAGAACCUUACCUGGUCUUGACAUCCACGGAAGUUUUCAGAGAUGAGAAUGUGCCUUCGGGAACCGUGAGACAGGUGCUGCAUGGCUGUCGUCAGCUCGUGUUGUGAAAUGUUGGGUUAAGUCCCGCAACGAGCGCAACCCUUAUCCUUUGUUGCCAGCGGUCCGGCCGGGAACUCAAAGGAGACUGCCAGUGAUAAACUGGAGGAAGGUGGGGAUGACGUCAAGUCAUCAUGGCCCUUACGACCAGGGCUACACACGUGCUACAAUGGCGCAUACAAAGAGAAGCGACCUCGCGAGAGCAAGCGGACCUCAUAAAGUGCGUCGUAGUCCGGAUUGGAGUCUGCAACUCGACUCCAUGAAGUCGGAAUCGCUAGUAAUCGUGGAUCAGAAUGCCACGGUGAAUACGUUCCCGGGCCUUGUACACACCGCCCGUCACACCAUGGGAGUGGGUUGCAAAAGAAGUAGGUAGCUUAACCUUCGGGAGGGCGCUUACCACUUUGUGAUUCAUGACUGGGGUGAAGUCGGAACAAGGUAACCGUAGGGGAACCUGCGGUUG